rnacentral:lncRNA from 1 species
UCUCUCUUCUUCCUCUCUUCUUCUUCCUCUUCCUCCCAAAAAAGAACACCCAAAAAAGAACACCCAAUAGGGGAAAUCGGAUCAGUAAAAGAACACCCAAAAAAGAACACCCAAGAGGGGAAAUCGGAUCAGUAGCGCCUAGAGAGAAAUAAAUGAUACAUUGUUCGUUUAGGAAAAUGCGUGUAGAAAUUCAUAGAUCUAAAAUGACACAAAAAAGAUGAAUAACUAAAAAAAUGAAAAACGAAUAUUCUAAAUAGCAUAAAGUCUAUUCCUUCAAAAAAUAUGAGAAGAGAAAUUGUGGAAUCCACAUAAACUCUAUCAGGUAUGAGAAGAGAAAUUGUAAAAUACAAAGUGAAAGGCUACUUUUAUCCCCUCAAAAUUUGUGGAUAUCGUUUAAAUGAACAAAAAAAUAAUAACUCAGAAAGGAAAAUUAAACAUGGAGAACGAUAGAAAUAAAGAUGCAGACGAGGGAGCAGGCCGAGAUCUGGAGGCUAGGGCUUGGGCGACGCCGUAGUUUGAAACCCGUACGGCGGCGACUGAAUACAGGCUGUGCAGUGGCGCAUUUAUCGUCGUCGAGGAGAGUGGCGACGCCACUGAGUUGCGCCAGUGCCUAGAUGUGAGGGCGGAGUUGGUGGCUUAGGGAUCUAGGGCUUUUGGACGGCGGCUUGCCGUGAUACAGUUGCAGGUUUUUCGCCGGCAGAGGAUGAGGCGAAGGGAGAGAGAAGAUGAUGGAAAGCUUCUCGCGGGCAGCGUCGCAUGUGGAAAGGAGGAAUGUUUCGUUUCGACUGGGAGAAGAAAACGAGAGAGAAGGCGCGGCGCUGAACCUUAAAGUGAGGGGAUGAAUAUUUGAGCUGUAU